AGAUUGAACGCUGGCGGCAGGCCUAACACAUGCAAGUCGAGCGGCAGCACGGGUACUUGUACCUGGUGGCGAGCGGCGGACGGGUGAGUAAUGCCUAGGAAUCUGCCUGGUAGUGGGGGAUAACGCUCGGAAACGGACGCUAAUACCGCAUACGUCCUACGGGAGAAAGCAGGGGACCUUCGGGCCUUGCGCUAUCAGAUGACGCCUAGGUCGGAUUAGCUAGUUGGUGGGUAAUGGCUCACCAAGGCGACGAUCCGUAACUGGUCUGAGAGGAUGAUCAGUCACAGUGGAACUGAGACACGGUCCAGACCUCCGUACGGGAGGCAGCGAGGUGGGAAUAGUUGGACAAGUGGGACGAAACGCCUAGA
rnacentral:rRNA from 1 species